AGGAAUAUUGGUCAAUGGACGAGAGUCUGAACCAGCCAAGUAGCGUGAAGGAUGAAGGUUCUAUGGAUUGUAAACUUCUUUUAUACGGGAAUAAACGGAUCCACGUGUGGAUUUUUGCAUGUACCGUAUGAAUAAGGACCGGCUAAUUCCGUGCCAGCAGCCGCGGUAAUACGGAAGGUCCGGGCGUUAUCCGGAUUUAUUGGGUUUAAAGGGAGCGCAGGCCGUCCUUUAAGCGUGCUGUGAAAUGCCGCGGCUCAACCGUGGCACUGCAGCGCGAACUGGAGGACUUGAGUACGCACGAGGUAGGCGGAAUUCGUGGUGUAGCGGUGAAAUGCUUAGAUAUCACGAAGAACUCCGAUUGCGAAGGCAGCUUACCGGAGCGCAACUGACGCUGAGGCUCGAAAGCGCGGGUAUCGAACAGGAUUAGAUACCCUGGUAGUCCGCGCGGUAAACGAUGGAUGCCCGCCGUUGGGAUUUGGAUUUCAGCGGCCAAGCGAAAGCGUUAAGCAUCCCACCUGGGGAGUACGCCGGCAACGGUGAAACUCAAAGGAAUUGACGGGGGCCCGCACAAGCGGAGGAACAUGUGGUUUAAUUCGAUGAUACGCGAGGAACCUUACCCGGGCUUGAAUUGCAGGAGAACGAUCCAGAGAUGGUGAGGCCCUUCGGGGCUCCUGUGAAGGUGCUGCAUGGUUGUCGUCAGCUCGUGCCGUGAGGUGUCGGCUCAAGUGCCAUAACGAGCGCAACCCCUGUCCAUAGUUGCCAUCAGGUCGUGCUGGGCACUCUGUGGAGACUGCCGCCGUAAGGUGUGAGGAAGGUGGGGAUGACGUCAAAUCAGCACGGCCCUUACGUCCGGGGCUACACACGUGUUACAAUGGGGCAUACAGCGAGUUGGAUGUGCGCAAGUACGUCCGGAUCAAUAAAGUGCCUCUCAGUUCGGACUGGGGUCUGCAACCCGACCCCACGAAGCUGGAUUCGCUAGUAAUCGCGCAUCAGCCAUGGCGCGGUGAAUACGUUCCCG
rnacentral:rRNA from 1 species